rnacentral:rRNA from 1 species
UGGGGAAUAUUGGACAAUGGGCGAAAGCCUGAUCCAGCCAUGCCGCGUGUGUGAAGAAGGUCUUCGGAUUGUAAAGCACUUUAAGUUGGGAGGAAGGGCAGUAAGCGAAUACCUUGCUGUUUUGACGUUACCGACAGAAUAAGUACCGGCUAACUCUGUGCCAGCAGCCGCGGUAAUACAGAGGGUGCAAGCGUUAAUCGGAAUUACUGGGCGUAAAGCGCGCGUAGGUGGUUCGUUAAGUUGAAUGUGAAAGCCCCGGGCUCAACCUGGGAACUGCAUCCAAAACUGGCGAGCUAGAGUAGGGCAGAGGGUGGUGGAAUUUCCUGUGUAGCGGUGAAAUGCGUAGAUAUAGGAAGGAACACCAGUGGCGAAGGCGACCACCUGGGCUCAUACUGACACUGAGGUGCGAAAGCGUGGGGAGCAAACAGG